rnacentral:misc_RNA from 1 species
UUUCUACCUUCACAUCCUGUGGUAAAUAUUCUUAUUACAGUGAAGAACCUAGCACAUGCAUUUUCUUGUUUAGAUUCUAUAUUUGUAUUAUGUGUCUUGACUAGACAAUUGCUUGAUUAAUUUUUGUGGGACUACAGAUGCUUAUUAGGAAAGUAUUUUCAAUUCUAUGUUGAAUUUUAUUGUAAUCCAUAUAAUGAUUGCAGUAAAUCAGACAUUAAAAAAAUAUGGAGCAAAUUGCCCCAUCUUUUUAAUAAUUCUUAUUGUUGGAAUGACUAUAACAAUCAUCACUCACAUUCCCUUGUUUAGUGUUUACUACAGCAAACAUCUUUCCGUCUUUGUUAUUCAGUUCUUUAAUUUAUUUUUCAUUGUGUUGAAGGUUUCUACUGGUGGCAUACCAGC